CCGACCGGCGCACGGUGAGUAACGCGUAUGCAACUUACCUAUCAGAGGGGGAUAACCCGGCGAAAGUCGGACUAAUACCGCAUGAAGCAGGGGCCCCGCAUGGGGAUAUUUGCUAAAGAUUCAUCGCUGAUAGAUAGGCAUGCGUUCCAUUAGGCAGUUGGCGGGGUAACGGCCCACCAAACCGACGAUGGAUAGGGGUUCUGAGAGGAAGGUCCCCCACAUUGGAACUGAGACACGGUCCAA
rnacentral:rRNA from 1 species